CCCCCAGUAACUGCGAGUGAAGAGGGAAGAGCUCAUCAUUGGAAUCUGGCAGCAAUUGUGCUGUCCGAGUUGUAGAUGAGAAGAGUGGGUCAUCUGGACUGCGUGGUGUCCAAGUACAAUAGGCCGUCAGUGGGACAUCAUAGAGGGUGACAAUCCCGUCCUUGACAACCAACGUACGAGUCCAUUACGAUGCCUAUCUCAGAGAGUCGAGCAGUUUGGGAUUUGCUGCUUAAACAUGGGAGGUAGAUUCCUUCUAAAGCUAAAUACAGGCAAGAGACCGAUAGAGAACAAGUACCGCAAGGGAAAGAUGAAAUAGAACUCUGUGAAGGGAGUCAAAAAGACGUGAAAUUGUUGCGAGAGAAGCGAUUCAAGUCAGCGUAGCUAGGCCCAUGAAGCUUUUUGCUUUGGACUAGCUUUGCCAGCGGUCUUGUCUGUAGACUUGACUUUUUGACGUGCCCAGCCCGGUCUAACGGGCAGGCCCCUCUGGGGCCCAGUGGCAUGGCUGGUGGAAUGGCUUGCAAUCGACCCGUCUUGAAACACGGACCAAGGAGUCUAACAUGUGUGCGAGUAUAAGGGUGGCAAACCUGUAUGCGCAAAGAAAGUGAUAGCCUUUAUGGCUGAGAAUGGCCUGAUGACCAGACAAGCAAUAUUAUGUUCCUCGUACGGUCAUUGCCCAAGUCCCAUGGUCAGAUCCCAUGGACAUGGAGUUAGAGCAUACAUGCUAGGACCCGAAAGAUGGUGAACUAUGCCUGGACAAAGCGAAGCCAAAGGAAACUCUGGUGGAGGCUUGUAGCGAUUCUGACGUGCAAAUCGAUCGUCUGAUCUGGGUAUAGGGGCGAAAGACUAAUCGAACCAUCUCAUAGCUGUUCCUGUCGAAGUUUCCCUCACGAUAGCAGAGACAUUGUGGAAGUUGCAUGUGGUAAAGCGAAUGAUUAUUGACUCUGGGGCUCAAAUGGGCCUCAAUCUA
rnacentral:rRNA from 1 species